AGAGUUUGAUCCUGGCUCAGGACGAACGCUGGCGGCGUGCCUAAUACAUGCAAGUAGAACGCUGAAGAGAGGAGCUUGCUCUUCUUGGAUGAGUUGCGAACGGGUGAGUAACGCGUAGGUAACCUGCCUUGUAGCGGGGGAUAACUAUUGGAAACGAUAGCUAAUACCGCAUAACAAUGGAUGACACAUGUCAUUUAUUUGAAAGGGGCAAUUGCUCCACUACAAGAUGGACCUGCGUUGUAUUAGGUAGUUGGUGAGGUAACGGCUCACCUAGGCGACGAUACAUAGCCGACCUGAGAGGGUGAUCGGCCACACUGGGACUGAGACACGGCCCAGACUCCUACGGGAGGCAGCAGUAGGGAAUCUUCGGCAAUGGGGGCAACCCUGACCGAGCAACGCCGCGUGAGUGAAGAAGGUUUUCGGAUCGUAAAGCUCUGUUGUAAGUCAAGAACGAGUGUGAGAGUGGAAAGUUCACACUGUGACGGUAGCUUACCAGAAAGGGACGGCUAACUACGUGCCAGCAGCCGCGGUAAUACGUAGGUCCCGAGCGUUGUCCGGAUUUAUUGGGCGUAAAGCGAGCGCAGGCGGUUUGAUAAGUCUGAAGUUAAAGGCUGUGGCUCAACCAUAGUUCGCUUUGGAAACUGUCAAACUUGAGUGCAGAAGGGGAGAGUGGAAUUCCAUGUGUAGCGGUGAAAUGCGUAGAUAUAUGGAGGAACACCGGUGGCGAAAGCGGCUCUCUGGUCUGUAACUGACGCUGAGGCUCGAAAGCGUGGGGAGCGAACAGGAUUAGAUACCCUGGUAGUCCACGCCGUAAACGAUGAGUGCUAGGUGUUGGAUCCUUUCCGGGAUUCAGUGCCGCAGCUAACGCAUUAAGCACUCCGCCUGGGGAGUACGACCGCAAGGUUGAAACUCAAAGGAAUUGACGGGGGCCCGCACAAGCGGUGGAGCAUGUGGUUUAAUUCGAAGCAACGCGAAGAACCU
rnacentral:rRNA from 1 species